GGGGGCGAACUGGGUUCGACGGGAAUAAUUGAGGUCUAGGUUGCAUAUCGAGGUUCCAUCUGCUCGUAAAACGGGUGGGCUAAACACAAACGCAGACGAUUAUGCGUACGCUCUAGCCGCAUAGGGCUAGCGUCUCCCUGCUCCAAGCCUGCGGGAACAGACGAGGCGCCGACUAGCAGGCUGGCUGAUCCGAUUUGCCUGAAAUCGGUUAGGCGAGAUCUUUUCAGGCUUGCCCUGAGGUUGACCUGCCGGGUUGGUAGCCGAUGGGCGAGAACUGAUAAUCCGGAAAAAUAUGUAGACGCCUAGGUCGAAUGUUUUCGGACGCGGGUUCAACUCCCGCCGCCUCCACCA
rfam:Desulfobacteraceae bacterium CG2_30_51_40 cg2_3.0_scaffold_7332_c, whole genome shotgun sequence.